ensembl:lncRNA
CAGGAAUCCUGAGAGACGGCUGUAACGAGGAGGUGGAGGCCCCACAGCAGUCCAGUUCUUUCCAGAGGCAGACGAAGCUGAGCGCGGCCUGAACAGCCCAUGGAAAGACAAAAGCUGGCCCUGGCACAUCAGGAAGAUGAGCUGGCACCCAGCCAUCCAAGCAGUUGCAGGGCAGAGCCCACUGCCUUCCACCUGUGAGAUAAUGGGCAAUGCAGCACAGAGUGCAGCCUUCUUUUCUUCCAAGAACAAUGCCAGCAUGCCAUCUUGUCCGUCCUCUCAGCUGCCCACAGAGUCUUGAGCCCUCUUGUGUCACAGGGGAAGCCACCAUGUGACCCACAGGAAGUCCCCGAUGGAGCCAACACAGGUCUUGAAGUGCUCCUGUCUUCCUGUUCCAUCACCAGCACUGGAGAACCCCACCAUCCCCCCGCUCCUAGGACAUGCCAGAAGCAGUUAUGAAUGGGAUGCAUGCCCUUGUCCCCACAGGGACUCAGUCAGACCUGCUGACCUGCUGCAAGCCCCUAGACAGCUGCCUCCAUUGGAGGAAGGACGCUUGGUGGCAGAGCUUACACCCAGCCCAGGGUCACACCUCUCUGCAGUGUUCCUGGGGAUGUACAUAGCCUCCCGUGCACAAAUGGCUGUCCCUGAUUUGAUGUGACCGCACCAGGCUGUGAGUAGCCAUCAGAAGAGCCCAGAAUCCCCUGUGGUGCGCUAGGGGGUGGCAGGUUGUCAAACAAACUGGCACAUGUCUUACUCCAAAGGGGUGACUGCUGCAAAACACAUAUCUAUCACAGCUAUCAAUUGGGAUGCUGAGUGUACUGGGGCUAUUCAGCUCCCGGCUGGAAACCACCAGCUGCCAGUUAUUACCACCGAGUGUAAAUUGGGUCCUGUUAAAAUGCAAUUUCCGGAGCUCUCCAGGACUUGUUUUUCUGCAAAUGCCUUUUGUCUGCAUUAAACGCCUUCCCAGGCCGAGUGGGACGAGCAGCUAACAGAGGAGCCAAAGUAAAACACAAACAGAGGCAGCUCCUGGCUUCCCCAGCAGCCUGUACUGAGUCGUGCUCCUGCCUCGUCUGCACGCUGGGACACCCUUCCUGCAGGUCUCCCUUUUCACAACGCCCGGUGCCUCUGUGAUGGUGCGAUGGAGCAGCGUUUCUCCCAGCAGCACUGCCAUCUGCUCCUGGUGACCAUCCCUGCCCGGCUGCAAGGCACAAAGACGCCAACGGAAGGUGGUUCUCCUGGUGUGGAGCGGUACAGGCAGGCUGCAGAGGGAGCACCCUGGUCGUCUCUGGAGCCGAUGCAUUUUGACGCCGUUCUGAAGCAGCGUACCCACAGGACUUUGUACAGGGAGAAAUUCGAUUUCCACGCUUUGAACAGCAAUAGAGAGUAGAAUACAAUUUGUAUGCCGGUUACUACGCUCAUUCAUACAUCCAUCAUCAUCCUUGAAGGAAACACCUAAACAUUUGACCUCCCAAAACCCCUAUGCUUUUCCCCUGACUGCUGCCCUGCCUUCUCCCACAACAGCACUGCAUCCAGAAGCAGGGCUCCUGCUAGGGCUGCUCUCAGGCGGCACGCUGUGCAGGGCAGACCCGGAGCGCUCCCAGCCACGCAGCUCAGGAGCUCCCCAGCCGCUGUGAUUUGUCACAGAGAUGAAACGUUUUUCACUCCUGCGUGGCUGGGAAGAGUUGCACUCAGGCAUUCCAAAUUACUUAACUCCACAUCAAAUGAAACACAUUAGCUCCGUCGUUUUCCAGCGGCUGAUCUACACAGAGGAAAACAGGCCAUUACUGCUACCAGCCAGGAGCUGCUUCUCAGAACCGGGGCAGGAAUUGACAUUUGCGUUGUUAAAAGCUAUGGAUUAAUGUCCUGUUGAUGUCCCAUUGUUGGGACUUUCACCAAAACGUGGAAAAUUAUAAUACAAAAAUGUAUAUAUGUAUAUAUAUAUUUUUUCAGAAUACAAUGAACGACUACAAAAAGAGGUUUCAAAUGAAAGUUUCUUUGUAAGCCCCCCUUG